GGCUCAGGAUGAACGCUGGCGGCGUGCUUAACACAUGCAAGUCGAACGAAGCACUUUUUACAGAUUUCUUCGGAAUGAAGUUUUAGUGACUGAGUGGCGGACGGGUGAGUAACGCGUGGGUAACCUGCCUCACACAGGGGGAUAACAGUUGGAAACGGCUGCUAAUACCGCAUAAGCGCACAGUACCGCAUGGUACAGUGUGAAAAACUCCGGUGGUGUGAGAUGGACCCGCGUCUGAUUAGCUAGUUGGCAGGGUAACGGCCUACCAAGGCGACGAUCAGUAGCCGACCUGAGAGGGUGACCGGCCACAUUGGGACUGAGACACGGCCCAAACUCCUACGGGAGGCAGCAGUGGGGAAUAUUGCACAAUGGGCGAAAGCCUGAUGCAGCGACGCCGCGUGAGCGAAGAAGUAUUUCGGUAUGUAAAGCUCUAUCAGCAGGGAAGAUAAUGACGGUACCUGACUAAGAAGCACCGGCUAAAUACGUG
rnacentral:rRNA from 1 species